ensembl:lncRNA
CUUUGGCAACAACUGUGAUCUGUCAUCUGCCUGAACCCAUCCCUGCCGCACUCCGGGUAAUGGAUACUUUAGUGGAGGCCUAUUAAUGGAGGCUCUCCCACUUUCAUGUGCUCGGAUGCAUAUGCACUCAUCUCCGCUGUUGGCCAGUGUUAUUGGGACCAUAGUGAAGGGAGGCGGGGGGGACCAGGGUGGGGCUAUCAAGCUGCUGCGGUACUUGUGGUGGGUAAUGGUGCAUGGAAAACACCCCACCCCCACUUUAUUCAAAACUCAAGUAAUGGAAAGAGCCACUUUACCAGAUCUGACAUAGCUGGGUGUCACUAAUGAGGAGAGCCAGAAUGGAAAAAGAGAGCGAGAGGCUGUAUCUGUGUUUGUGUGGAGUUAAAUUGGUUGAGACUCUAAUGAGAGAACCAUGCACGGACUGUCUCCACACAAUGGUUACUAUGUCUGAUGACACCAACACAUCUCAGCACAGAUUCACUCCUGUUUUGCUUCACACCCUGACUGUACUUUCUCACCUGUCUGCUCCUAAUGACGGCAGAGAGAGAGAGAGAGAGAGAGUAUCCUGAGGGGACAUCUCCAGACGAGGGUGUGUGUUCCCAGCACACAGGACACCGUUGCUGUGGAGGUGGGAGUACGUCAACCAGAAACAAGCCAAUGUCGUGCUAAGGCUGUGAGACACCUCUUGUGCUGCUCUGUGUGUAUUUUUCCGAUCGCACAGCCCCUUAGCACAUGCACACACAUCAUUCAUAGACACUUACACUCUGUUCUCUGUAUGUACGACUCUCUUGACAUUUUAGCUGCACUUUCCUCCAGAGGGAGAGAGAGACAGGCCAAUGGAACUACUAACUGUCAUAUCAGGGACGUAAAAGGAAAAAGGAUGUGAAACAGAUGGAGGAGAGGGGAGGCAGAAUACAUUUUGGUGUGUAACUCAGGAAAAACCAGCUGUUUUAUGGUUUGGCGCAAGAUGGAGAAAACUGAUAGAAACCCUUUUUUCUUCUUCAAACGCUGGGAGUCCCAUCAAAAGGCUCACUGGUUCAGCUCCCAGAAUCCCUCAAAAGGGUCCGUGGCCUCUUUUAAUUUAGUACCCCGGCACAACUGUACAUUCGUGGAAAAAGAUCUAAUUUGAUCUUACGUAAGAUGGUGAAAACAAAAACAUACUAGAAAGUAACCUAAGGAGACAGAUUUGAACUGCCCCAGAUAGCAGAUGUUGCAUAAUGUGGACCACAGGGUGAGCUGUGUAUGUUUGUGUGUGCGUGUGACCAUAUGAUGUGGAGAUUCCGGGAUUGGGCAGUUGUGGAUACAGAUACAGGAUAUGACACCUAAUCUUCCCAAAUAUCUCCCUGGUAACAGGCUGAGUAAUAUCAGCCAUAUUUCAUGUUUGCGCAUGUGUGCGUGGGUGUGUGUGUUCUUACUUUCCUUUUGACAAUUCCAGUAUGCAUUGGUUUUAUUCCAUCGUGUCAAUAGACAUCAGCCUGCAGGCAAGGAAUCAGUGUUGUUCAUGGACAUGCUGGUAUUAGAGAGCAAGAACGAGACAGAGAGAUCUAUAGAGAGAGCAAGACAGAGAGUGUUAAAUUGUCCCUGGCUGUAUGGAAUUGCACCUAGAACUGAAGUGUGCAUAUAUGUGCAUGUAGACUGACUCAAGGAAAAUCAGAUGACAGCCUUUACAGUGUCAACAUAUUAAUGAACAAUUACACAUUACCAAAAAAUAUGGCUACCUAUAACAUGGUUACUGCUAAACCUCUCUCUUCUCUCUUUUAUGGUGUCAUUUUGCUUCAUGCUUUAGCCACUGUUCUGGUGAUUUGUCAUAAAAAAGAAACCCAAGCAUGAAAACUGCUGCAACAUCUCCAGUUCCACUGUUUAUUAAUUUGUAGAAUUUUUUUUUCAGUCACCCACUGUCACUUUGAAUAAAAAAACAAAAUCCUUCCUCUCCA